rnacentral:rRNA from 1 species
GACGAACGCUGGCGGCGUGCCUAAUACAUGCAAGUCGAGCGGAUCUUCAUUAGCUUGCUUUUGAAGAUCAGCGGCGGACGGGUGAGUAACACGUGGGCAACCUGCCUGUAAGACUGGGAUAACUUCGGGAAACCGGAGCUAAUACCGGAUAAUCCUUUCCCUCACAUGAGGGAAAGCUGAAAGACGGUUUCGGCUGUCACUUACAGAUGGGCCCGCGGCGCAUUAGCUAGUUGGUGAGGUAACGGCUAACCAAGGCAACGAUGCGUAGCCGACCUGAGAGGGUGAUCGGCCACACUGGGACUGAGACACGGCCCAGACUCCUACGGGAGGCAGCAGUAGGGAAUCUUCCGCAAUGGACGAAAGUCUGACGGAGCAACGCCGCGUGAGCGAUGAAGGCCUUCGGGUCGUAAAGCUCUGUUGUCAGGGAAGAACAAGUACCGGAGUAACUGCCGGUACCUUGACGGUACCUGACCAGAAAGCCACGGCUAGCUACGUGCCAGCCGCCGCAGUAAUAC